AAGGGUAUAGUUUAAUUGGUAAAACAGUUGACUUCAAAUCAAUAUAGUGAUAGUUCAAUUCUGUCUGCCCUUG
rnacentral:tRNA from 10 species